rnacentral:lncRNA from 1 species
CAAAGAGCUGUUUGUGCAUUACAUUUCUACUAAGGAUCAAAUUGUUGAUGGCUUCACAAAGGCCCUUUUCCAAAGAACAAUUUGCAUGGUUCCGAGACAAGUUGCAUGUCCCUACUGGGUCCUUACAACUUGAGGGAGGGUGAUAAGGAUGACUUAUGUUAUAUUAGCUUAUAUUAGCUGUCUAUAUAUUCUACUAAUUAUAGAAUUCCUAUUGCAACAUGGAUUGUAACCCUACUGCUUGUACUAUAUAUAUUCGUCUCAUACAUCAAUAAUAUUUGAUACUAUUCCAUGCAAAUCACGUUCACAGAAUGAUGUGACCAAGGCCAAGAGUCCAUAUACUUCAAGAGGCGAAGACCCUUUAAGCAUUUAAGAAGGACUAAUCACAAGAUCAAAGGCUAAGAAGACGAAGGAAGCACUUGUUGAGCUUAUUAAGAAUAAUUGAGUUCAAGACACUACAAGCUAUGAGGAGUCAACUCUAAAAUCAAGUCCAAGACUUAUUAGCUUGAUCUAAUACCAAGGCGCUUGAUUAAAUCUAAUUGGGCCAAGGAGGAUUAAGAAGCAAGCCCUUGCAUGUGACCUUCUUAAGUAAUUAGGGUUCCAACUUAAACUUGUUGACUAGUUAACAGGG